GACGAACGCUGGCGGCGCGCCUAACACAUGCAAGUCGAACGGAGUCACGAGGAGCUUGCUUUUCUUGACUUAGUGGCGAACGGGUGAGUAACGCGUGAGUAACCUGCCCUGGAGUGGGGGACAACAGUUGGAAACGACUGCUAAUACCGCAUAAGCCCACGGAUCCGCAUGGAUCUGCGGGAAAAGGAUUUAUUCGCUUCAGGAUGGACUCGCGUCCAAUUAGCUAGUUGGUGAGGUAACGGCCCACCAAGGCGACGAUUGGUAGCCGGACUGAGAGGUUGAACGGCCACAUUGGGAAUGAGACACGGCCCAGACUCCUACGGGAGGCAGCAGUGGGGGAUAUUGCACAAUGGGGGAAACCCUGAUGCAGCGACGCCGCGUGGAGGAAGAAGGUUUUAGGAUUGUAAACUCCUGUCGUUAGGGACGAUAAUGACGGUACCUAACAAGAAAGCACCGGCUAACUACGUG
rnacentral:rRNA from 1 species